UAGGGAAUCUUCGGCAAUGGACGGAAGUCUGACCGAGCAACGCCGCGUGAGUGAAGGAGGUUUUCGGAUCGUAAAGCUCUGUUGUAAGAGAAGAACGAGUGUGAGAGUGGAAAGUUCACACUGUGACGGUAUCUUACCAGAAAGGGACGGCUAACUACGUGCCAGCAGCCGCGGUAAUACGUAGGUCCCGAGCGUUGUCCGGAUUUAUUGGGCGUAAAGCGAGCGCAGGCGGUUAGAUAAGUCUGAAGUUAAAGGCUGUGGCUUAACCAUAGUAGGCUUUGGAAACUGUUUAACUUGAGUGCAAGAGGGGAGAGUGGAAUUCCAUGUGUAGCGGUGAAAUGCGUAGAUAUAUGGAGGAACACCGGCGGCGAAAGCGGCUCUCUGGCUUGUAACUGACGCUGAGGCUCGAAAGCGUGGGGAGCAAACAGGAUUAGAUACCCUGGUAGUCCACGCUGUAAACGAUGAGUGCUAGGUGUUAGACCCUUUCCGGGGUUUAGUGCCGUAGCUAACGCAUUAAGCACUCCGCCUGGGGAGUACGACCGCAAGGUU
rnacentral:rRNA from 1 species